AGCCCAUUUCUUUCUUUCGGGGUGCAAAACCCCUCUGGUCUCUCUUUGCCUUGCUCAGGGUUUUUACUGUGUACACAGCAGCACAGAGAGGGAGAGAGAGGCAUGGAGUUCCAGAAGAGAAAAGCGGCGAUGCUUUCAUCACUGGGAUCAUCGGAAGCUGACAAAUCGCCCAAAGGGACCUUAGACGCACCCAUAAUCCCACUCCUUAACUCUCUCAAUUCACACCCUUCUUAUUUCACCACCAGUUCUUGCUCCGGCCGCAUCUCCAUCCUCGGCCAACCCAAACCCACCCAGCUUACACCAACCCCUCCCAGUAAGAAGAAGGCACGCGGUGGCUCCUGGCUCUUUAUUUCCCACGACCCGGCAAAUCCCGAUUCCGUCCUCUCCCUUCUUUUUCCGUCCAAGUUACCUACUCAAUCAUCCGAGCUGGUUUUCCGGUUUGAGCCCUUGAUUGUUGCUGUUGAGUGUAGAGAUGUUGAAGCUGCCCAGUUUUUAGUUUCCUUGGCGAUAUCUUCCGGGUUCAGGGAAUCUGGGAUUACUAGUGCUAAUAAUAAGAGAGUGAUUGUUGGUAUUCGAUGUUCGAUAAGAAUGGAGGUGCCGCUGGGUGACACUGAUAAGCUUCUGGUAUCGCCCGAAUAUGUGAGGUUUCUUGUGGAGGUAGCUAAUGAGAAAAUGGAAGCUAACGGAAAGAGAACCCAUGUUUUUCUGAGAGCUUUGACGGCAAAUGGGUUCGUGGGUUCCGCGGUUUCCGAGAAUGGUGUUCAUACUUUUAAUGAUAUACAUGAUGGGGCUGCUGAUAGUGAUAACUUGGAGAGUGCAAAUGAGGAUACCCAUAUUGGAGGAGUUUCUGAUUGCGGUUUAUCUAUUGUUAAAAUAGUAAUUGUUGGUGAACCUUUGGAGAAACUGUUCCUUUGGGGUCAUUCUGCUUGUACAUUGGAUCACAAAAAUAGCAAGGGUAUUCUUGUAUUUGGUGGUUUUGGAGGCAUGGGAAGACAUGCACGAAGAAAUGAUACUUUGCUGCUUGAUCCAUUAAAUGGAACAUUAAAGGCAAUUGAUGCUGUGGGCGCACCAUCUCCGCGAUUGAGUCACACGGCUUCUUUGGUUGGUGACUUUUUAUUUGUCAUUGGAGGCAGGUCUGAUCCCUUGAACAUUUUGGAUGAUGUAUGGAUUCUUAAUACUGCUAGUAAUGAAUGGAGGUUAUCUGAAUGUACUGGCAGUGUUUUCCCUCCUAGGCACCGGCAUGCUGCAGCAGUUGUUGGCACAAACAUAUAUGUAUUUGGUGGACUUAACAAUGAUACAAUAUUUUCAUCCAUGCAUGUCCUCAACACUGGAAAUUUGCAGUGGGAAGAGGUUUUAGUUGGUGGGGAACAGCCAUGUGCCCGUCAUUCUCACUCAAUGGUGGCAUAUGGGUCUACAUUAUUCAUGUUUGGAGGGUACAAUGGAGAAAAGGCUUUGGGAGAUUUAUAUAGUUUUGAUGUUCAAACACAUAUUUGGAAGAAAGAAAAGACAUCUGGAGGAAGCCCUCAUCCAAGAUUCUCCCAUUCAUUGUUUGCUUACAAUAAUUUUCUUGGAGUUAUUGGGGGUUGUCCUAUCAGACAACAUUCCAAAGAGUUGGCAUUACUAGAUCUUCGAAUUCAUAAAUGGAAGCAUGUGAGUCUUGAUUAUAUUGGCAAAGAAUUGCUUGUGCGCAGUACAACCAAUAUUGUGGGUAAUGAUCUCGUUGUGAUUGGUGGUGGGGCAGCCUGCUAUGCAUUUGGAACAAAGUUCAGUGAACCAUUAAAAAUCAGCUUGCUUCCAUUGGUGUCUUUUGAAGACAAAUUUGUAUCUCUAGAAAUAGGAGAAAAACAUGUUAGUGAACUAUGUGAUGGGCUAAGAGGAGAGAAAAAUAUUAACCAGGGCUCUCAAGUUGGAAAUGCAGAAAAUUCAACAUACAGUUGUAGGUUUGAUUUUGAGGCCAAGCAAUGUCCAUCGGUUGCUUCAUGUUGGGUGCUAAAGCUUGAAAAGAAAUGUGCAAAAUUAGGGAAGGACAUGUUGAAGAAAUUUGGAUGGUUAGAUCUUACAAGGAAGGUUCGUUCAGAGAAGGAUGAGUUGGCCAUUUGUUUCCCUAUCACUGAAAAAUUCUAUGCCGUGUUCUCUAAAAUUCAGCAUCAAUAUGGAGAUGUAGUUGAAGGGCAGAACAAUAUUACUGAGGAAGGGUUUUUAUUAAAUGAGGUUUCUUGCUCAACAGCCAUGUUUCUCCUUAAGGAAUGUGGUGCUACUGUGUUGGCAGAUGAGGUUGCUGAAGUCAGAAGAACUGUGAAAUCUCCCUUGCAGAUAAUGAAAGAAGCUGUAGCUUCCUUGAUCAAAUGUAAGGGCAUAUCAUCAGAACUAUUAGAGCAGCUACCCACUAGAUGGGAGCAAGUGGGAGAUAUUUUUGUGCUUCCUAUAACAUCCUUCAAGGACCCAUCAUGGGACUUAAUAGGGGAGGAGCUCUGGCCUACCAUUGCCAGAUCACUUAAUUGUCAGCGUCUGGCUCGCAAAGGCCGAGUUGCACCAACUGGAACAAGGGACAGUACUUUGGAGAUUCUGGUGGGAGAUAACGGCUGGGUUGAUCACAAAGAGAAUGGAAUUCUCUAUUCUUUUGAUGCUACCAAGUGCAUGUUUUCCUGGGGUAAUCUUUCUGAGAAGCUUCGCAUGGCACAUUUGGACUGUCAGGAUGAGGCUAUAGUGGAUUUAUUUGCUGGAAUUGGAUAUUUUGUGUUGCCAUUCCUCGUUAGGGCUGGAGCAAAGCUGGUUUAUGCUUGUGAAUGGAAUCCCCAUGCUGUUGAGGCGCUCAAACGCAAUCUUGAAGCAAAUUCUGUGUCAGAUCGAUGUGUUGUACUUGAAGGAGAUAAUCGGAUGAUAGCCCCUAGAGGAGUUGCUAAUCGAGUUUGUCUUGGUCUUCUUCCAUCAAGUGAGGGCAGUUGGGUAACUGCUGUUAGAGCAUUAAGUGCUACUCCAGGAUUGAGGGUGGCAUGCUUCAUGUGCAUGGAAAUGUGAAGGACUCAGAGGAGAGCUCAUGGACUGAACAUGUUUUGAGAUCAAUGGAUGAAAUUGCUAGAUCCGAAGGUCUGUGUUGGGAGGUAUCAAUUGAGCAUGUGGAGAGGGUAAAAUGGUAUGCUCCACACAUACGCCACCUUGUUGCAGAUGUGAGGUGCAGACAAAUUCAAAGAUAGCACUAGAUGUUCUCUUUCUCCUAGGUAACAAAUUAAGCUACUACAAGCAAAAAUGUGAAGGGUAUGGCGGGCUUUAUGUAAGUCACAUAUCAGGCUCCAUGCUAAUACAACUACUGAUAAUUUCAUUACAAAAGGCUGCGUGUAAAGCCCUCAGUUUCAAUGGGAGAAAUGAUGGAGAAUGAUUUGACAAACAAAAUGCUACAGAAGCAGAAUUGUUUCAAACCAGAUGUUCUACAUUUUAUGAUUUGUGAGUGAAGUUAUAAGCAUUGACGAAACACAAAUUGAAUAUGUUGAUUGUCUCUAUAUUUCUACGGUACACACUUUAUUUUUAGUGCAUCAUUGAGUGUUGCUUACAA